rnacentral:rRNA from 1 species
CAUGCAAGUCGACGGUAACAGAAGAGCUUGCUCUUGCUGACGAGUGGCGGACGGGUAGAGUAAAGUAUGGGGAUCUGCCGAAUGGAGGGGGACAACAGUUGGAAACGACUGCUAAUACCGCAUAAUGUCGCGAGACCAAAGCAUGGGACCUUAGGGCCAUGCGCCAUUUGAUGAACCCAUAUGGGAUUAGCUAGUAGGUGAGGUAAUGGCUCACCUAGGCGACGAUCUCUAGCUGGUCUGAGAGGAUGACCAGCCACACUGGGACUGAGACACGGCCCAGACUCCUACGGGAGGCAGCAGUGGGGAAUAUUGCACAAUGGGGGAAACCCUGAUGCAGCCAUGCCGCGUGUAUGAAGAAGGCCUUCGGGUUGUAAAGUACUUUCGGUAGCGAGGAAGGGGUUAUAUCUAAUAGGUGUAAUCAUUGACGUUAACUACAGAAGAAGCACCGGCUAACUCCGUGCCAGCAGCCGCGGUAAUACGGAGGGUGCGAGCGUUAAUCGGAAUGACUGGGCGUAAAGGGCAUGUAGGCGGAUAGUUAAGUUAGGUGUGAAAGCCCCGGGCUCAACCUGGGAAUUGCAUUUAAAACUGGUUAUCUGGAGUAUUGUAGAGGAAGGUAGAAUUCCAUGUGUAGCGGUGAAAUGCGUAGAGAUGUGGAGGAAUACCGGUGGCGAAGGCGGCCUUCUGGACAAAUACUGACGCUGAGAUGCGAAAGCGUGGGGAGCAAACAGGAUUAGAUACCCUGGUAGUCCACGCUGUAAACGAUGUCAACUUGGGGGUUUGGGUCCUAGAGACCUGUGCUCCGAAGCUAACGCGAUAAGUUGACCGCCUGGGGAGUACGGCCGCAAGGUUAAACUCAAAUGAAUUGACGGGGCCC